rnacentral:rRNA from 1 species
UACGUAGGCAGCAAGCGUUGUUCGGAUUUACUGGGCGUAAAGAGCGUGUAGGCGGCCAAACAGGUCCGUUGUGAAAACUGGAGGCUCAACCUCCAGACGUCGACGGAAACCGUGUGGCUAGAGUCCGGAAGAGGAGAGUGGAAUUCCUGGUGUAGCGGUGAAAUGCGCAGAUAUCAGGAAGAACACCAAUGGCGAAGGCAGCUCUCUGGGACGGUACUGACGCUGAGACGCGAAAGCGUGGGGAGCGAACAGG